CGAGGAGCGGAAAAUACACACACUCACACGCGACAGGACGAGGAUGGAGUUGUCACUAAUGGCAGCGCAGCAUUUCCCAGCCGUCAGUGGAGCCUUCAUGGACUCUCCAUACAACGGCAGCGCGUCCCUCCAGACCUCCACCUCUAACCUGAACACCAGCAUCUCUCGGCCGGCGGAGCAGGAGGAGGAGGGCAAGUUCUCCAGUGACGCCAUCUGGCUGUGGGUCGCCGUCAUCGCCACCAUCGGGAACAUCGUGGUGGUCGCGGUGGUCUGCGCCUGUGCCUUUUAGACCCCGUAGUGCACAAGAACACAGCCUGAACUCCUGAUCCCCCCUCACUAGCGCAAUUGAAAGAAGCACACAGCAGCCUACUACUAAAGGAUGUCUGAAUGAACGUCUGUGAAGAAUUCGAGUUUUCGAGGACCUCAACAGAAACUCGACAUUCAGUAGUGGACAUCACUGACAUCCAGAAAAUAUCAACACAUCAGUCCAAACACAUGCGCUGUAGGUGAAUUGAACAAACUAAAUUGGCCGAAGUGUAUUUGUGUGUGUGUGAAUGAGUGUUUAUGAGGGUUUCCCAGUUCUGGGUUGCAGCUGGAAGGGCAUCCGCUGUGUAGAACAUAUGCUGGAAUAAUUGGCGGUUCAUUCCGCUGUGACGACCUCUGAUUAAUAAGGAACUAAGCCGAAGGAAAGUGAAUGAAUGAAUGAGUUAAUCAUUUCCCAGGGAUGGGUUGCAGCUGUAAGGCCAUCCACUGCGAAAAAACAUGCUGGAUAAGUCGGCGGUUCAUUCCAUUGUGGCCACCCUGGAUUAAUAAAGAGACUAAGCUGAAAGAAAAUGAAUGCAUGAAUCAAACUGCUGAUUGGUGUGUGUAAAGAAAGAGAAGCUAAUCUAUCUGUCAAUGUAUGUAUUUUAUAUAGAAAUGGAGAUGGAUGCACUUUAUUUAAGAAUUUAAUGACUUUAAUUAUGAGUUUCAUUGUUUAUUCAUUCGUAUCAUCAUAUGUGAGUGAACAAUUAUCCCCUGUUUGAUCUGUACAAUGUCUAAUAUGUGAACGGACAUCACUAGAUCAUCAGAUACACUCAUAUUUACAUGUUUAACAGACAUUUAACAGUGAAUUCCCUGAGGAAUCAUCAGAAAACAGCAUUGAGGAACACACAAACCACAUCAGGCGACAGAAAUGGAGGACAAAACUGAAAUGAAAAAGGAUGAGCUGCACUUUUUGAUGAAGCAUUGGGAUGGAAAUAUAAAUCUGGACAAUUAGGCUCUUCAUUAUGUAAAUAUUCUGUCAUUUAUUAAAAAAGAAAUACAUUAAGUAAGCUGUCAGGAAGUGCAUCAGAAUAUCUGUAUACACAACUAAUCUGACUAGAAUUUAUGCACGACUUAUACAGCUCAAUAAGUGUACUCGUUUACUGUUGAUCAUGCCAUUUAUUUCCUUAUUUUAUCAACAGCACACAUGACUUCAUUGUUUUAAAUAACUGAUGCUGUCUUGCAUGUAAAUCUCUCCGUCCUGCUUUUUUAUGCACAUGUUGUUCAUACUGUACAUAAGUGUAAAAAAUGAAUAUUCUUAAAAUGUUUAUGCACCUAAAGUUACACACACAUACAAUAUACUGCUUUUUGUUCGUUUUGGACACAACCAGCAAGCUCAUUUAUAUGCAUUUAUUCUAUUUUUGACCUAUAAAAUAAAUUCUAUGAUGAUUAAAGUUAUAAUACAUUUGUGAACUUAAUAAUAAAACAUUUUCAAAGAU
rnacentral:lncRNA from 1 species